rnacentral:rRNA from 1 species
AUUGAACGCUGGCGGCAUGCUUUACACAUGCAAGUCGAACGGUAACAGGGAGCUUGCUCCGCUGACGAGUGGCGAACGGGUGAGUAAUGCGUCGGAACGUGCCGAGUAGUGGGGGAUAACGCAGCGAAAGUUGUGCUAAUACCGCAUACGUACUGAGGUAGAAAGUGGGGGACCUUCGGGCCUCACGCUAUUCGAGCGGCCGACGUCUGAUUAGCUAGUAGGUGAGGUAAAGGCUCACCUAGGCGACGAUCAGUAGCGGGUCUGAGAGGAUGAUCCGCCACACUGGGACUGAGACACGGCCCAGACUCCUACGGGAGGCAGCAGUGGGGGAUUUUGGACAAUGGGCGAAAGCCUGAUCCAGCCAUGCCGCGUGUCUGAAGAAGGCCUUCGGGUUGUAAAGGACUUUUGUCGGGGAGGAAAUCCCCAGCGUUAAUACCGCUGGGGGAUGACAGUACCUGAAGAAUAAGCACCGGCUAACUACGUGCCAGCAGCCGCCGUAAAAC